rnacentral:tRNA from 1 species
GCGCACGUGCUGAAACUGGUAGACAGGCUAGCUUGAGGGGCUAGUGUUCAUUAGAGCGUGGAGGUUCGAUUCCUCUCGUGCGCA